GUCUAUGGCCAUGCCGCCCUGAACAAGCCCGAUGUCUGAUCUCAGAAGCUAAGCAGGGUCGGGCCUGGUUAGUAUUUGGAUGGGACACCACCGAGGAAGACCAG
rnacentral:rRNA from 1 species